AAGGAUCAUUACUGAACUGUCGACACGAGCUGUUGCUGGUUUCCAAACGGGACACGUGCACGCUCUGUCAACAUAUCCACUCACACCUGUGCACCCUCUGUAGUCCCAUUGCCCGGGGGGCUCCGCCCUCUUCGCGUGGUUCUACGCCUUUACACACACUCUGUAACAAAGUCUCAUGGAAUGUACACAGCGUUUAACGCAAUACAAUACAACUUUCAGCAACGGAUCUCUUGGCUCUC
rnacentral:misc_RNA from 1 species